GUUGAAUUAAAUCGUCAGGUAUCCCUGGGGAUGGAUGAGUGAUCCGAAAUUCAAGAUGCAUGAUGUACAUCUUCGUCCCUAUACGUUCCUUCCUUGGAAUUACUCUGAAAUGCACAGAGGAGUCUUCAAAGGGAGUAAAGAGGAUAGCUGUGGUCAAAAAGUCAGAAAGGACUUGUUGAAGCCUCAAAUUGUCACCAAUCAGGUACAACUGUGAUACUUCGACAGGCGAGUCCCAUGUGACCUGAAC
rnacentral:misc_RNA from 1 species